CAUGAAGGUUAAAAUAAGAAAAAAACACUGUUAUAAUAUAUAAAAUAAUGAUAAUAACAAAAUAAUAAUAAUUAUUAUUAUUAUAAAUAAUAAUGAAAUAUUAUUAUUGAUGUUCAUUUAUUAAGGUUACCAUGGGAGAGGAGUAGACUGACAGUUCUCCAUGCACCACAACUUGUUGCCAGAAGAAGUGGAGAAUGGCCUUUGCAGUCAGUGUCCAGCAGUAAUGUCCAGCUUUAUGGCUGACCGCCACAUGUAGCGGGGACAAAUGGCUGUUGUUUAGGAUGUUAGGAUCUGCUCCCAGAGCCAAGAAGCACAGAGCAGCUUCCUGGCUGGUCCUUCUGCACAGCCCAAUGAAGAAGGUCCAAGCCUGUGGAAAGUAUUAAGUAUCAAGACCACCAUCCUGACACAUGGCCUCGGGUGUUGAAGAUCUGAGGGACUCUCACACACGGGCAGAUUUUGAGAAUAACUGAGGAAGUGCCAUCAGAAAACAGACCUCUCAAUGGGAUAAACCACUGCCAGAUACUAUAGCUGGUAUGGCUGACUUUGGGAAAUUGGUUUAAAAUAGCAGGACCGGUGGAAAGCAUGGGGCGCUAAUCAUGGCAGGACAAGAACAAGCACUCAGCUCUAAAUCAAUAGGGACGGUCCUCCUGAGACAAUCCAGCACCUAAUAGCAGGAUGCAUGAUACAGACAGGAACUGGAUGGACUUCUGUCACAUCAGGAUUUUACAUGGAAGCAUCAGAAAUCCCAAAUCACAAUCAUGUUGUGAUUUUAAAUUAAUUGAUCAUAAUUUUAAUUUGAAAUGAAUUACAUUAAUUUGAUGGUAUUUUAUGUAUAUAUAGAGUACCAUACCACUUUAAUGUAAUAUACUACGUUUUGAUAUUUAUAUUUACAUCACAUUUUUCAUGCAGACUCAUCUUACAGUCUCUUUUUCUCUCUUCAGAGACCGGGUGGUAUUGAAUUACUUUCCAUAAUCUCUGAUUUUAUUUCAGAGCCUUAACGAUGUGAGAGCUUUGGGUGAAACUUCACCACCUCAUGGGGCUCUACUGUUACAAGUACAGUAGGUUUGUCUCUCUAGUUUGUCAGCAUCAACACCCAAGACAUUAUGGUCCUUUGCAAUAUGCAUCUUUUUUAUUUCAUUGUUGCAUUACUGAUGUACGGUUUGAAAGAGGGAGGGACUGCGACCUCAGACUGGUGACCAUCUGCCUGAAGGUUUUGUUCCAUUGGCAUUAGUGGCACAAUAUAGAAAGCGUUAAACUGUUUCUGGUCUUUAAUAGCUUUGUAGUUUGAGGCAAAAGAAUGAUUUUAUAUCUAUCUAUCUAUCUAUCUAUCUAUCUAUCUAUCUGUCUAUCUGUCUGUCUGUCUGU